AUUGAACGCUGGCGGCAGGCCUAACACAUGCAAGUCGAACGGUAACAGGAAUCAGCUUGCUGAUUCGCUGACGUGUGGCGGACGGGUGAGUAAUGUCUGGGAAACUGCCUGAUGGAGGGGGAUAACUACUGGAAACGGUAGCUAAUACCGCAUAACGUCGCAAGACCAAAGAGGGGGACCUUCGGGCCUCUUGCCAUCGGAUGUGCCCAGAUGGGAUUAGCUAGUAGGUGGGGUAAUGGCUCACCUAGGCGACAAUCACUAGCUGGUCUGAGAGGAUGAACAGCCACACUGGAACUGAGACACGGUCCAGACUCCUACGGGAGGCAGCAGUGGGGAAUAUUGCACAAUGGGCGCAAGCCUGAUGCAGCCAUGCCGCGUGUAUGAAGAAGGCCUUCGGGUUGUAAAGUACUUUCAGCGAGGAGGAAGGUGUUGUGGUUAAUAACCAUGGCAAUUGACGUUACUCGCGGAAGAAGCACCGGCUAACUCUGUGCCAGCAGCCGCAGUAA
rnacentral:rRNA from 1 species